AGAGUUUGAUCCUGGCUCAGGAUGAACGCUGGCGGCGUGCUUAACACAUGCAAGUCGAACGAUUAAACCGGCUCCGGCCGGAUAUAGAGUGGCGAACGGGUGAGUAACACGUGACCAACCUGCCCCGCGCUCCGGGAUAACUGCUGGAAACGGCAGCUAAUACCGGAUACUCCGGGCGCCCCGCAUGGGGCGGCCGGGAAAGCCUUUACGGCGCGGGAUGGGGUCGCGGCCCAUUAGGUAGUAGGCGGGGUAACGGCCCACCUAGCCCGCGAUGGGUAGCCGGACUGAGAGGUCGACCGGCCACAUUGGGACUGAGAUACGGCCCAGACUCCUACGGGAGGCAGCAGUGGGGAAUUUUGCGCAAUGGGCGAAAGCCUGACGCAGCAACGCCGCGUGCGGGACGAAGGCCUUCGGGUUGUAAACCGCUUUCAGCAGGGAAGACUAACGACGGUACCUGCAGAAGAAGCUCCGGCUAACUACGUGCCAGCAGCCGCGGUAAUACGUAGGGGGCGAGCGUUAUCCGGAUUCAUUGGGCGUAAAGCGCGCGUAGGCGGCCGCCUAAGCGGAACCUCUAAUCCCGGGGCUCAACCUCGGGCCGGGUUCCGGACUGGGCGGCUCGAGUGCGGUAGAGGCAGUUGGAAUUCCCGGUGUAGCGGUGGAAUGCGCAGAUAUCGGGAAGAACACCGAUGGCGAAGGCAGACUGCUGGGCCGCCACUGACGCUGAGGCGCGAAAGCUGGGGGAGCGAACAGGAUUAGAUACCCUGGUAGU
rnacentral:rRNA from 1 species